CAGGGAGACAACAAAAUGUUUAAUAUUAUUAUUUUGUCACCUUAGGUCGAUCGGUAUCUCACGUUUUUAAUUUAUUAAGAAUUUCAUUUCCUAAGUUUUUCUAGGUCACACCCAUUAUUUUUCCUGGGCCAUUAGCUCAGGUGGUUAGAGCGCACCCCUGAUAAGGGUGAGGUCCCUGGUUCAAGUCCAGGAUGGCCCAUAUCUCUAUGUUGGGGGUAUAGCUCAGUUGGUAGAGCGCCUGCUUUGCAAGCAGGAUGUCAGCGGUUCGAGUCCGCUUACCUCCACUGAUUACCACCUCUUCCAUAACUGGUAAAAAGGAAAUGUUUUGAGCUGUGAUCAAAUUCUGAAAGAAUCUAGCUUCCUAAUGAAAUCAUUAAGAUGCUGGACUCAUUGAAUUAAUUUCAUUGUUUUCAGAGAACCUUGACAACUGCAUAGAUUAUUUUUAAAGACAAUAAGCAUCUUUAAUGAUGCAGAUUUAUUAUUUGUGCAAAUGCAUUAAUAACAAUUCUAUUAAGCUGAUGCUUCAAUUUUGAAGUUAUU
rnacentral:tRNA from 1 species